rnacentral:sRNA from 1 species
ACAACUUUACAUGAAGGUCAACUGGAAUA